GGAAAUUGCCAAAAAUACUAUUUUCAAAGUACCACUUUUCAUGUUUACACUAGUCAUUUUUACCCUCAUCUUUAAUGAAGGGUAAAAGACAUUUAUAACCUUUUGAAUAACUUGGACAAAAAAAAACAUAUGGUUAACUAAUCUAAACUUAAAACAUCAACUCCAAAUCCUAAAUCAUCAACUUUAAACUCUAAACCCUAAACCCCGAAAUAUCAACUCUAAACCCUAAACCCUAAACCCUAAACCCUAAACCUUCAAAUCUAAACCCUAAAACAUCAACUCUAAACCCUAAACGUAAACCCUAAACCCUAAAUCUAAACUUAAAACAUCAACUUUAAACCCUAAAUCAUCAACUCUAAACUCUAAACCAUGAAACAUCAACUCUAAACCCUAAACCCCAAAACAUCACAC
rnacentral:lncRNA from 1 species